rnacentral:rRNA from 1 species
AAUAGAUACCCGGGUAGUCCAUGCCGUAAACGUUGGGCGCUAGAUGUGGGGACCAUUCCACGGUUUCCGUGUCGCAGCUAACGCAUUAAGCGCCCCGCCUGGGGAGUACGGCCGCAAGGCUAAAACUCAAAGGAAUUGACGGGGGCCCGCACAAGCGGCGGAGCAUGCGGAUUAAUUCGAUGCAACGCGAAGAACCUUACCAAGGCUUGACAUAUACGAGAACGCUCUAGAAAUAGAGAACUCUUUGGACACUCGUAUACAGGUGGUGCAUGGUUGUCGUCAGCUCGUGUCGUGAGAUGUUGGGUUAAGUCCCGCAACGAGCGCAACCCACGUUCUAUGUUGCCAGCGGUUCGGCCGGGAACUCAUAGGAGACUGCCGGGGUCAACUCGGAGGAAGGUGGGGAUGACGUCAAAUCAUCAUGCCCCUUAUGUCUUGGGCUUCACGCAUGCUACAAUGGCCGGUACAAGGGCUGCAAUACCGUAAGGUGGAGCGAAUCCCGAAAAGCCGGUCUCAGUUCGGAUUGAGGU